AGUGAACGCUGGCGGUAGGCCUAACACAUGCAAGUCGAACGGCAGCACAGUAAGAGCUUGCUCUUACGGGUGGCGAGUGGCGGACGGGUGAGGAAUACAUCGGAAUCUACUUUUUCGUGGGGGAUAACGUAGGGAAACUUACGCUAAUACCGCAUACGACCUACGGGUGAAAGCAGGGGAUCUUCGGACCUUGCGCGAUUGAAUGAGCCGAUGUCGGAUUAGCUAGUUGGCGGGGUAAAGGCCCACCAAGGCGACGAUCCGUAGCUGGUCUGAGAGGAUGAUCGGCCACACUGGAGCGUGGACACGGUCCAGACUCCUGAGGGAGGCAGCAGUGGGGAAUAUUGGACAAUGGGCGCAAGCCUGAUCCAGCCAUACCGCGUGGGUGAAGAAGGCCUUCGGGUUGUAAAGCCCUUUUGUUGGGAAAGAAAAGCAGCAGGUUAAUACCCCGCUGUUCUGACGGUACCCAAAGAAUAAGCACCGGCUAACUUCGUG
rnacentral:rRNA from 1 species